GACGAACGCUGGCGGCGUGCUUAACACAUGCAAGUCGAACGGAGUGGCGAACGGGCGAGUAACACGUGGGUGACCUGCCCUGCACUUCGGGGUAAACCUGGGAAACUGGGUCUAAUACCGGAUAGUGUGGGAUGGGCCCGCGGCCUAUCAGCUUGUUGGGGGGGUAAUGGCCUACCAAGGCGGCGACGGGCAGCCGGCCUGAGAGGGUGGCCGGCCCCAUUGGGACUGAGACACGGCCCAGAGUGCUACGGGAGGCAGCAGGGGGGAAUAUUGCACAAUGGGCGGCAGCCUGAUGCAGCGACGCCGGGUGGGGGAGGACGGCCUUCGGGGUGUAAACGCCUUUCACCAUCGACGCGGUAGAUGGAGAAGAAGCACCGGCUAACUACGUGCCAGCAGCCGCGGUAAUUC
rnacentral:rRNA from 1 species